rnacentral:rRNA from 1 species
GACGAACGCUGGCGGCGUGCUUAACACAUGCAAGUCGAACGGUGAACCUCUUCGGAGGGGAUCAGUGGCGAACGGGUGAGUAACACGUGGGCAACCUGCCCCCGGCUCUGGGAUAACUCCAAGAAAUUGGGGCUAAUACCGGAUGUUCACCGCUUCCCGCAUGGGUGGUGGUGGAAAGGGUUUCCGGCUGGGGAUGGGCCCGCGGCCUAUCAGCGUGUUGGUGGGGUAGUGGCCUACCAAGGCGACGACGGGUAGCCGGCCUGAGAGGGUGACCGGCCACACUGGGACUGAGAGACGCCCCAGCCUCCUACGGGGGGCAGCAGUGGGGAAUAUUGCGCAAUGGGCGGGAGCCUGACGCAGCGACGCCGCGUGGGGGAUGACGGCCUUCGGGUUGUGAACCUCUUUCAGCAGGGACGAAGCGCAAUUGACGGUACCUGCAGAAGAAGCACCGGCCAACUACGUG